UAGGGAAUCUUCCGCAAUGGCCGCAAGUCUGACGGAGCAACGCCGCGUGAGUGAAGAAGGAUUUCGGUUCGUAAAACUCUGUUGUUAGAGAAGAACAGCGCAUAGAGUAACUGUUAUGCGUGUGACGGUAUCUAACCAGAAAGCCACGGCUAACUACGUGCCAGCAGCCGCGGUAAUACGUAGGUGGCAAGCGUUGUCCGGAUUUAUUGGGCGUAAAGCGAGCGCAGGCGGUCAAUUAAGUCUGAUGUGAAAGCCCCCGGCUCAACCGGGGAGGUGCAUUGGAAACUGGUUGACUUGAGUGCAGAAGAGGAGAGUGGAAUUCCAUGUGUAGCGGUGAAAUGCGUAGAUAUAUGGAGGAACACCAGUGGCGAAGGCGACUCUCUGGUCUGUAACUGACGCUGAGGUUCGAAAGCGUGGGUAGCAAACAGG
rnacentral:rRNA from 1 species